AGUGCUUGCACUUCGCUGACGAGUGGCGGACGGGUGAGUAAUACUUAGGGAUCUGCCUUCGGGAGGGGGAUAACCAUUGGAAACGAUGGCUAAUACCGCAUAACGUCUACGGACCAAAGGGGGCUUCGGCUCUCACCUGAAGAGGAACCUAAGCGAGAUUAGCUUGUUGGUGAGGUAAAGGCUCACCAAGGCGACGAUCUCUAGCUGUUCUGAGAGGAAGAUCAGCCACACUGGGACUGAGACACGGCCCAGACUCCUACGGGAGGCAGCAGUGGGGAAUAUUGCACAAUGGGGGAAACCCUGAUGCAGCCAUGCCGCGUGUGUGAAGAAGGCCUUCGGGUUGUAAAGCACUUUCAGUCGUGAGGAAAGGUUAGUAGUUAAUACCUGCUAGCCGUGACGUUAACGACAGAAGAAGCACCGGCUAACUCCGUGCCAGCAGCCGCGGUAAUACGGAGGGUGCGAGCGUUAAUCGGAAUUACUGGGCGUAAAGCGCACGCAGGCGGAUUGUUAAGCUAGAGGUGAAAGCCCCGCGCUCAACGUGGGAAUUGCCUUUAGAACUGGCAGUCUAGAGUCUUGGAGAGGGGAGUGGAAUUCCAGGUGUAGCGGUGAAAUGCGUAGAGAUCUGGAGGAACAUCAGUGGCGAAGGCGACUCCCUGGCCAAAGACUGACGCUCAUGUGCGAAAGUGUGGGUAGCGAACAGGAUUAGAUACCCUGGUAGUCCACACCGUAAACGCUGUCUACUAGCUGUUUGUGUAUUAUAUACGUGAGUAGCGAAGC
rnacentral:rRNA from 1 species